GUGUCAGCCGCCGCGGUAAAACGUAGGAGGCAAGCGUUAUCCGGAUUUACUGGGCGUAAAGCGCGUGCAGGCGGUCAAGUAAGUCGGACGUGAAAGCUCCCGGCUCAACUGGGAGAGGCCGUUCGAUACUACUCGACUUGAGGGCAGUAGAGGAAGGUGGAAUUCCGGGUGUAGCGGUGAAAUGCGUAGAUAUCCGGAGGAACACCUGUGGCGAAAGCGGCCUUCUGGACUGCUCCUGACGCUCAGACGCGAAAGCUAGGGGAGCGAACGGGAUUAGAUACCCGUGUAGUCC
rnacentral:rRNA from 1 species